rnacentral:rRNA from 1 species
UACGUAGGGGGCAAGCGUUAUCCGGAUUUACUGGGUGUAAAGGGAGCGCAGGCGGUAUGGCAAGUCAGAUGUGAAAACCCAGGGCCCAACCCUGGGACUGCAUUUGAAACUGCCAUACUGGAGUGCCGGAGAGGUAAGUGGAAUUCCUAGUGUAGCGGUGAAAUGCGUAGAUAUUAGGAGGAACACCAGUGGCGAAGGCGACUUUCUGGACAGAAACUGACGUUGAGGCACGAAAGUGUGGGGAGCAAACAGG